UAUUUGCAGAAAUGUGAGGGGUGUACUCACUUUUGUGACAUACUGUAUAUAUAUUUUUUUUUUUUACCUUUGGUGCUUUUGCUCCAUGGAAGUUCUACCAUCAAGUCCAAGUAGUUCCUAGUGAGGGCGUACUCCGGCAUGGACUGCGGCAUCUUCUUUAAUCUUGAUAUAGAUGAAAAUAUGCAUAUUAGAUACAAUAUUACAAUUUAUGACUGAUAUUUGUCGGGGAUGUUUUAUCAGAAUAGCAGACCACACACGAAAAAAAUGGCUUGAUAUGGAUGCUGUAUGGUAUCAUGUACCCAGAAAAAAAUUAUUACGUUUUAAUUAAUGUUCAUGUUAAAGGUUAAAUAACUGUUAAUAGUUAUCCUCCCUAUCCGUGUGGAAGUGGUAAGUUUUUUGGCCAUUUAAGUUGAAAGGAAAUAACUCGAAGGCUACCGUUUAGGUCGCGAGCGCGCUAGUUUGCGAGUUAGCAUGUGUCUCAGGACCCUGCAGUUACGCAAUAUGUUGUAAAUCAGGGGUCUCAAACACGCGGCCCGCGGGCCAAAUGUGGCCCGCAGGACACUACUUUGAGGCGCGCAAGUUUGAUAUGGAUGCUGUAUGGUAUCAUGUACCCAGAAAAAAUUAUUACGUUUUAUUUAAUGUUCAUGUUAAAGGUUAAAUAACUGUUAAUAGUUAUCCUCCCUAUCCGUGUGGAAGUGGUAAGUUUUUUGGCCAUUUAAGUUGAAAGGAAAUAACUCGAAGGCUACCGUUUAGGUCGCGAGCGCGCUAGUUUGCGAGUUAGCAUGUGUCUCAGGACCCUGCAGUUGCGCAAUAUGUUGUAAAUCAGGGGUCUCAAACACGCGGCCCGCGGGCCAAAUGUGGCCCGCAGGACACUACUUUGAGGCCCCCGCCUUGAUAUGAAAGUUUAAUGUUAGUGCGGAAAAAAUUAUUACGUUUGAUUAAUGUUCAUGUUAAAGGUUAAAUAACUGUUAAUAGUUAUCCUCCCUAUCCGUGUGGAAGUGGUAAGUUUUUUGGCUAUUUAAGUUGAAAGGAAAUAACUCGAAGGCUACCGUUUAGGUCGCGAGCGCGCUAGUUUGCGAGUUAGCAUGUGUCUCAGGACCCUGCAGUUACGCAAUAUGUUGUAAAUCAGGGGUCUCAAACACGCGGCCCGCGGGCCAAAUGUGGCCCGCAGGACACUACUUUGAGGCCCCCGCCUUGAUAUGAAAGUUUAAUGUUAGUGCGGAAAAAAUUAUGACGUUUGAUUAAUGUUCAUGUUAAAGGUUAAAUAACUGUUAAUAGUUAUCCUCCCUAUCCGUGUGGAAGUGGUAAGUUUUUGGCUAUUUAAGUUGAAAGGAAAUAACUCGAAGGCUACCGUUUAGGUCGCUAGCGCUCUAGUUUGCGAGUUAGCAUGUGUCUCAAGACCCUGCAGUUGCGCAAUAUUUAUUUAUUUUAAUAUAUUAUUUUAAUAAUAUUUAUUUAUUUUUCAUUUUAUUUGGUAUAGAAAAAUAAAAAUUAACAGUGGAAUGUUUUAUCAGAGCUUUUAUUGUAGAAAAUCGGAACCAAAGCAAAGUUUAUUAAUUUUUCUGUUUUUAAUAAAUGCGUUUUUUGUUGUUUUUUUUGGAAAACCUGAUGCGGCCCAGUCUCACCCAGACCCGACCUCCAGUGGCCCCCAGGUGCGGAUCAUAGACGCAACGACAUCCGGAAGAGUUUCCUUGGGAAGGCUGUCCAACAGACGGCGGAAUUUGGCCACCACUGGAACAGACACGUCCAACAUACCUAGCAACUGCACACACACACACGCAUGCGGUAGCUAGGAUUACGGUCGGAACGCGCAGUUUGCUAAAUCCAAGAGUCCAUUAUUCAUCAUAGCAUGGUGUUGCUAUCUCGACAAAGUAGGAACGCGAGAGGUCUUUUCUUAUUUGGAAAUCCAAGGAAAUCCAGCUGGAAUAGGUGUAGAUUCUGAAAGAUCUAGAAAGCCUUCUGUGUUUAGAGUCCAUAACUGAAUACUAAAGGAUAGAAAUAUGCAUAAUAUAUGCAAUUUAAUAGCAAUAGCCAAAAAAUUUAGCUGGAAUAGGUGUAGAUUCUGAAAGAUCUAGAAAGCUUUCUGUGCUUAUUGAGUCCAUAACUCAAUACUAAAGUAUAGAAAUAUGCAUAAUAGAUCCAAUUUAAUAGCAAUAGCAAAAAAAAUAGCAGGAAUUGGUGUAGAUUCUGAAAGAUCUAGAAAGCUUUCUGUGUUUAUUGAGUCCAUAACUCAAUACUAAAGUAUAGAAAUAUGCAUAAUAUAUGCAAUUUAAUAGCAAUAGCCAAAAAUUUAGCUGGAAUAGGUGUAGAUUCUGAAAGAUCUAGAAAGCUUUCUGUGCUUAUUGAUUCCAUAACUCAAUACUAAAGGAUACAAAUAUGCAUAAUAUAUGCAAUUUAAUAGCAAUAGCCAAAAAAUUCAUCUGGAAUAGGUGUAGAUUCUGAAAGAUCUAGAAAGCUUUCUGUGUUUAUUGAGUCCAUAACUCAAUACUAAAGGAUAAAAAUAUGCAUAAUAUAUGCAAUUUAAUAGCAAUAGCCAAAAAUUUAGCUGGAAUAGGUGUAGAUUCUGAAAGAUCUAGAAAGCUUUCUGUGCUUAUUGAGUCCAUAACUCAAUACUAAAGGAUAAAAAUAUGCAUAAUAUAUGCAAUUUAAUAGCAAUAGCCAAAAAAUUUAGCUGGAAUAGGUGUAGAUUCUGAAAGAUCUAGAAAGCUUUCUGUGCUUAUUGAUUCCAUAACUCAAUACUAAAGGACAAAAAUAUGCAUAAUAGGUCCAAUUUAUUAGCAAUAGCCAAAAAAACAACUCCCUGACACGUACCUGUAACGCAACCUGGUAGAACUUCUGGGACAACUCUUGCAGGUCUCCAUCUUCGGCCGUGGCCCCCCCUGCCGGGGUCGUGUAAUGUUCCAGUUUAUCCAACUGUUCCACCUGCAAAUUCCAGAUAAUGAGCGUUAUUUUAGAUUAUAUUUUCAAUUCUUAUUUUAUGAUUCUGGAGGACUCACCUCCGCCAACGCAAAGGGUCGAUCCGUCAGCAGGCUGGACACGCUGAAACGGCACAAUCCGGUGAUGAGGAGGGUGUAGUGGGGCUUGGGCCAAUUGCUGCCCACCACCUGCACCGCGAUCCCCGCAGUACCGAUUCUACAAACAUAAUGUAUUAUUAUUAUUAUUAUUAUUAUUACUCCAGUCAUCAGAUCGCUAUGUGAUCCCAAAUGUGGCCCGCAGGACACUAGUUUGAGGCCCCCCGCCUUGAUGUGAAAGUUUAAUGUCAGUUAUUUAAAGGUUAAAUAACUGUUAAUAGUUAUCCUCCCGAUCCGUGUGGAAGUGGUAAGUUUUUUGGUUAUUUAAGUUGUCUCGAAAAAAAAUGUCAAAUGUAAAAAUGGGGUCUCAAACACGCGGCCCGUGGGCCAAAUGUGGUACGUGGGACACUACUUUGAGGCCCCCGCCUCGAUAUGAAAGUUUAAUGUUUGAUAUGGAUGCUGUAUGGUAUCAUGUACCCAGAAAAAAUUAUUACGUUUGAUUAAUGUUCAUGUUAAAGGUUAAAUAACUGUUAAUAGUUAUCCUCCCUAUCCGUGUGGAAGUGGUAAGUUUUUGGCUAUUUAAGUUUAAAGGAAAUUAACUUGAAGGCUACCGUUUAGGUCGCUAGCGGUCUAGUUUGCGAGUUAGCAUGUGUUUCAAGACCCUGCAGUUACGUAAUAUGUUGUAAAUCAGGGGUCUCAAACAUGCGGCCCGUGGGCCAAAUGUGGUACGCAGGACACUACUUUGAGGCCCCCGCCUUGAUAUGAAAGUUUAAUGUCAGCGCGCCCCGCGCAAGUUUGAUACGGAUGCUGUAUGGUAUCAUGUACCCAGAAAAAAUUAUUACGUUUGAUUAAUGUUCAUGUUAAAGGUUAAAUAACUGUUAAUAGUUAUCCUCCCGAUCCGUGUGGAAGUGGUAAGUUUUUUGGUUAUUUAAGUUGUCUCAAAAAAAAUGUACAAUGUAAAAAUGGGGUCUCAAACAUGCGGCCCGUGGGCCAAAUGUGGUACGCAGGACACUACUUUGAGGCCCCCGCCUCGAUAUGAAAGUUUAAUGUUUGAUAUGUAUGCUGUAUGGUAUCAUGUACCCAGAAAAAAUUAUUACGUUUUAAUUAAUGUUCAUGUUAAAGGUUAAAUAACUGUUAAUAGUUAUCCUCCCUAUCCGUGUGGAAGUGGUAAGUUUUUGGCUGUUUAAGUUGAAAGGAAAUAACUCGAAGGCUACCGUUUAGGUCGCUAGCGGUCUAGUUUGCGAGUUAGCAUGUGGCUAAAGACGCUGCAGUUGCGCAAUAUGUUGUAAAUAAUAAAAGUAUAAAUGUGACUAUAGUCGUGUUUUGUCAUGUCUACAGGGCUCUAAUAAUGCUUUGUUCAUUUUAAUGUGAAAAAAAUAAUUUGUCUACCCACCAACUAUAUGUGGUUUCUUAAGUUUUUAUUAUUUGCCCUUUUAUUAUUAUUAUUAUAUUUAUUUAUUACUGAUUAAUUGAUUUUUAUUUUGUGUAGAAAAAUAAAAAUUAAGAUAUUUGAGAACAGUGGAAUGUUUUAUCAGAGCUUUUAUUGUAGAAAAAAAAUUCUUGCAAUUUUUUCAACAUUUUUACAUUUUGAAGUUUACAGGAUUCCGGUAUCAAUCAAAAAACAGCCUGCAGUCUCUCAUUCUUAUUGACAAUUCCGGGUCUGCCCUGCAGUCUUCCCGGCCUUUAUGGACCAGCGCCUUCUAAUUAUGCAAGACACGUAAAUCUUUAGAGGUUUUUUUUGUGUGUUGGACAAAUUCCGACAAGAAACUUUGCUCUUUACAAGUACUUUGGACUUGGAGUCACAAUUUUGAUGACUUUGGACUCGACUUGACUUGGAAAUUGACUUUGGAAUUUCAUUUUUAUUAGCAAAUUAUAAGUUAUUGGUAUCGGUUGCACGGCGGUCGAGUGGUUAGCGCUAAGACCUCACAGCUAGGAGACCGGAGUUAAAUCCCACCGUCGGCCAUCUUUGUGUGGAGUUUGCAUGUUAUCCUCGGGUUUUCCGGUUUCCUCCCACAUUCCAAAAAAAAAACAUGCUAGGUUAAUUAGCAACUCCAAUCGGUUGCACGGCGGUCGAGUGGUUAGCGCGAAGACCUCAUAGCAAGGAGACCGGAGUUAAAUCCCACCGUCGGCCAUCUUUGUGUGGAGUUUGCAUGUUCACCCCGAGUUUUCCGGUUUCCUCCCACAUUCCAAAAAAACAUUCCGGUUUCCUCCCACAUUCCAAAAAAACAUGCUAGGUUAAUUAGCAACUCCAGUCGGUUGCACGGCGGUCGAGUGGUUAGCGCGAAGACCUCACAGCUAGGAGACCGGAGUUAAAUCCCACCGUCGGCCAUCUUUGUGUGGAGUUUGCAUGUUCUCGAGUUUUCCGGUUUCCUCCCACAUUCCAAAAAAACAUGCUAGGUUAAUUAGCAACUCCAAUCGGUUAGCGCGAAGACCUCACAGCUAGGAGACCGGAGUUAAAUCCCACCGUCGGCCAUCUUUGUGUGGAGUUUGCAUGUUAUCACCGGGUUUUCCGGUUUCCUCCCACAUUCCAAAAAAUCAUUCCGGUUUCCUCCCACAUUCCAAAAAAACAUGCUAGGUUAAUUAGCAACUCCAAUCGGUUAGCGCGAAAACGUCACAGCUAGGAGACCGGAGUAAAAAUCCCACUGUCGGCCAUCUUUGUGUGGAGUUUGCAUGUUCUCGAGUUUUCCGGUUUCCUCCCACAUUCCAAAAAAACAUUCCGGUUUCCUCCCACAUUCCAAAAAAAAACAUGCUAGGUUAAUUAGCAACUCCAAUCGGUUGCACGGCGGUCGAGUGGUUAGCGCGAAGACCUCAUAGCUAGGAGACCGGAGUUAAAUCCCACCG